CCAGGCUUAAGUGCAAUGGCUCGAUCUCGGCUCACUGCAGCCUCCGCCUCCCAGGUUCAAGCUAUUCUCCUGCCUUAGCCUCCUGAGUAGCUGGGACUACAGAGGUUCCCCACCAUACCCAGCUAAUUCUUUUUUGCAAUUUUAGUAGAGACAGGGUUUCAUCAUGUUGCUGAGGCUGGUCUUGAACUCCUGACCUCAAGUGAUCCACCCACCUCUGUCUUCCAAAGUGUUGGGAUUACAGGCACAAGCCACCACGCCUGGCCCAUAAUUUAUUUUAUUUUAUUUUUAAGUUCCGGGGUACAUGUGCAGGAUGUGCAGGUUUGUCGUAUAGGUAAACUUGUGCCAUGGUGGUUUGCUGCACAGAUCAACCCAUCCCCUAGGUAUUAAGCCCAGCAUGCAAUUAGCUAAUUUUCCUAAUGCUCUCCUUCCCCCUGUCCCCCACAACAGGCCCCAGUGUAUGUUGUUCCUCUUCCUAUGUCCAUGUAGAAAAUAAUUUUUUACCACAGCCAUUGUAGUGAACAGCAAAGCCUAUCUCUUCUGAUAAGAAACAGUAUCCAGAGGUACAAAACAUAGAAAUACCCCCACCUUUCCUUCAGAUUCAACAUUCAGCUGACAUUUACUGAAGUCCCAGUCUGUGCCAUGCAUGUUGCUAAAUGCCUUCCAUUUGUUAUUUGAUUUAAUUAAUUCCUUCCCACAACCCUGUAAGGUAUUAUUCCUUUUGCAGGAGAUCAACUCUCAAUGAAAUUCUAGCCCAAGGUCACACAGCUGGUGUGACAGAAAAGAAUCCACCCUCCAUUCUCAUUCUGGAAUAACAAGAUGUUCUUUGGCAGAGGGCUCAGAUCACAUCAAGACUGCACGAUACAGCCACACGUCCUUCUGCUGCUGGGAUCCCCUGGAAUAAAACCAAGAAAAGACUAAAGGAGUGUCAAGCAAGAAGGCUGAGAGGUGUCCCCCUGGGGUGGCUGUGCUGCUGCCACCGAAGGCCAUAGCUGGAUAGCAGAGCUGAGUCUAGAAUCCAGUCUCCAGACCCGCAGCCCCUGGGAGCAGCCCAGUGCUGUAAAGAGCACACACCUUGCGCUCAGACUCGAGCACAGAAAGCCCGAUGCUGCAUGCUUUUUGAUAACCCAGCACCGCAGAAACCUCCCCUGGUGUUAACUGCUGGAGAGACAAAGGGGCCUGAAAGUGCCCCCAAAACAGGAUAGACAGGAUAGGGGUUAGGCUUGCAGAUAUUGCUGACACUCCCCAGUUCCUGGGCCAGCUUUGGCCUAGAAUCUCUCUCAGUGUAAGCUUCUUUGGAGAGUGGAGUUGGUGGGUGGAUUCAGAGAGAGGCCCUGCUGUGAUUCUUGGGAGGCUACGUGAGCCCUGUCUGCCAGCUGCCUCCAAGUGCUGCCGUGAAGGGAGGCUGGGAACGGCUUUGGGAGGCAUCCAGGAGGUGUUGCUGCUUUGGCCCCUGAGUUCCAGGAACUGAAGGAGCAAACGACUGUUUCACUCCUCAUUGGCUGAUUUCCAGCCUCAGACACAACAUUGGUUCUAUCAAAAGGUGCAGGUGGGCAGUGACUAGGGGCUAACACACAUCUAGUUGGAAGUUGUUUUAACAACUAGUUAGGGCACCAGAUUCCUCCUGGCUCUGAUCACCAUCACCUGCCGGGCCUCGUUGGCAGCUCUGGCCCCUGCUUGGCUCUGUAGCUCCAAGAGAGCAGCCCGAUGAGAUGGGAUAGCAGGUGGCCCAGAGUGGGUGGGGGAAGCAGGUAACCACCUGUUACCAGAGAGGACUCAGCACCAUACACACCCAGCUUCCGCAGCCUCAAUGACUUCCCCCCCCCCAGCUUGGCAGAGACUUUGGGCCUCUCCUGGAUUCAGAUCCCUGGAAGGUGUUCUGCAUCCAGGAGAUGAGCAGGAACAUGGAACAGAUGUAGAUGUCAGUCACCUCGCUGUGUGAAAGCCAUAGAAAAGCCCUCUCAUCUGUCAGAUCCAGUUGCCUGUGAAUAAAGCUGUCUUUAUCUUUUUAA